ensembl:lncRNA
CGGAGUGUGGGUUUGGGUCUGAGUAGGCAGGAGAGAGGCUAAAGGCGAGAAAGGAAUUGGGCGCCCAUGGCUAACCUCCAACCUGAGCGUUGGAAGGGGUCUGCGUGCUCGCCGCCUGGGUGGAAUUUUAGCCUCCCUCACCGCCAGCAGCCCUCGCGGCCCGAGUCGCACCUGCUCUGUCGUCUGGUUCACAAGCAACAGGCUCUGAGGCCGGGGUCCCAGGGCGCUGAUGGCUCCUCCUCCCUACGGUGCUCCAGGCCGGCCUGCCAGUGGCCCGGUGCCUCUCGCUAAUGCGCGUUCUGCAGCCUGACAAAGCUCUGGACUUGGCAUAAAAUCCAACUAUUGGGCCAGGUCCAAGAUGUUGUAUAAAGGCGACUUCCCCUGUCUCAGUGAACACAAAUCUGAAAAAAAAUUGAAAAGCUUGGAGUCUGAAUUCUCUUGUUUAGAACACGAAGAAAAUUUGAAAGCCCUGGCAAAAUCUAUCAAGCGAGGUUGAGGAAACUGCUUCAUCCCUUCCACCCGCAGGCAUCCAGGCAGCUUGCUAAGGCAUGCAGAGAGCAGCUUAGAGCAAUCAACCUGUUUCCCUUGAGCUCUGUUCUCUUGUUUCCUCUGAGCACAUUCAACCGUCUGAGCAUCUGACUCAGACAUAGCAGAGAUACUGUUGCUGCUGGAGGGUAAUAGUUUGUUCUGUUAUCCUGAAAUGCCCUUGCUCUGAGAACAUUAGAAGCUGGGGAACUGGAUGAAUUUCCCCACCAUGUGCAUUUC